GCUGACACAUCCCGGCCAAUCUCCAGCAGACCCUCCCUCCCAGACCCUCCUACUUCCUGGACAGCAUCCAUGUUGAAGGCAGCUUCAACAUGGAUGCUGUCCAGGAGGUGGGAGGGUGUGGGAGGGAGGGUCUACUGGAGAUUGGCCGGGAUGUGUCAG
rnacentral:miRNA from 1 species